UUAAAAAAUCAAUUGCUAAAGUUCAACAAUAUAAAUAGUUAGUAUUACACAAAAUUAAUAAAAAUUAAAAACAUAUUAUUAGUAUAUCACUUUAAUUCAUUAUACUACGUGUAUAAAAAUAAAUAAUAAAUAUAUUAAUGUAACUUAUAAAAACUAUUAAAAGUUAAGUCAUGCUAAGUACUGAGUAGGUAUAUCCAUAAUAUGAGAUGGCAAAAUGUAAACCAAUAUCUUGAACAUAAAGAGACUCCUCAUCGCCAUUUAAGUAGUGUUAAAUCAUUCCUACAACAUUUUUGAUGUUUUCACAAAUUCUUCUGGAGGAUAUGUAUCUGAGCAGCCACUGGGGAAAUAAAGUCAGGAUGAUUCUAAGAGUGGCCGAAAUUAAGUUUCUGGUGAGUUGUUCAACCGUGAAACAUUGUUAGAAAUAAAAACAUGCUUUUGUCUGGGGCCUAACUUCAAUUAAAAGCAUUAGAAGUAGCUCAUAAAAUCAAGUUUCGUAGUUUCAAAGCUUCCAACAGCUGGUUAGAGUGCUUCAAGGAACGACAUACAAUUGUUUUUAAAUUGAUUUGCGGAGAAGCGGCUUCUACUAAUGUGACAGUCGUUAAUGAGCGGAAAUCAAAACUUAUGGAAACACUGCAUUUUAAUUCAAUUUUUGAUAAUUAUUAAUUUAAAAGAUGGUCUGGAGGUCUAAGAUCUGAAAUCAUGUCUGAAAAACGGGCCAUUCGGCUCUCCUAUAUAGUGAGCUUAUUCCUCUACUUUACUUGUCCCUUAUGAAUAGUGCUGCCGCUUCCACGGUCUGUAUGGUCGAUGCCCCGAAUUAGCUAGUAAGGUCGUGCAUAUGUGGCCGUGGAUUUGCAGCUGUAUCCAGGGCCGGAUUUAGGGUUGUUUGGGCCCCAGGAUCCACAUAAGAUUGAAAUAUAAGAAUUUUUCGUUAAUCUACAUGCUUUAAAACUUAAAUUUUAAAAUUAUAUUACUGAUGGGUUAUUCUCUCAUCACGCUAUUAAUUUCUUAUCAUAUCAAUUUUGCUUAUUAAACAUAAUUAAUACAGAUUUAUAAAAUGUUAAUACAAUUAAUAAGUAAAUACUACUUGUAUUAAAGUAACCUUUAAAGUUAUCUCUUUUUAUUUUUUUUUUAGACAUUUAGUACAUUAAACCAUUGAAUAAGCUAUUAUUAAAAUAUAUUUGAUGCUAAUGAAAACUAAAAUAAGCCCUUCAAAUUAUUUUCAACAACAAUUUUGAUAUAUUCAAUAAUAUAUAAUUAUAUAUAUAUAGUAUGUUCGUUAAAGGUACAACAUUAUUUUAUAAUAUACAAAUAUAAAAAUAAAAUACUAAAGAAAUAUAAUGUACAAGUUAUUUAUAAUAAACAUACUUUUCUUAACUUCUUAAUAGAAAAUUGUUUAAUGGUAUCUUCAAAGUCCAAGUACCUAAGUAUCAGUAUUUUUCAUUGAAGACUGAAGUAAAGUAAAGUAUUUUUAUUUUGGCACUUUAAAUUAAAUGUAACUUUUAUUAGUUUCCAAUUUAAAUGAGGGUAGACACUAUCGCAUUGUUUCUUAUGACGCUUCACCACUCUAAUUUAUAUUUAUUAGGUAGGUAGUGUUUAGUUAGGUAAAUUAAAUUAUGAUAAAAUCAAUAUUUAUUAAUAAUUUACUUACCCGAUAGUAAUAGUAGGCUAAUUGAAUAUGUGACAAAUUUACAAUGUAUAGGUACUCGGAAUUCAAAUUUUGUAAACUCUGACAAAACAAUCAAUGAUAAAUGAUAAUGUUGAAGUUUAUGUUUCAAGUGAUACAUAGAAAUCUUGUAAGUAAAUUGUAUUAGAGUUUCACGCAAUAAAUCUUAUUUGAACAUAUAUUUGAACAGUGUCUACUUAAAAUCGAUCUAACUAACAAAUAAAAUUAUUUAUGGUUUUAGAGUUUUCCAAUGGUAUACGCAAUACUUACUGGUAAAACGGAAGAAAUAUAUGUAGGGUUAUUCAAAUAUGUCCGUUUUACAGUUCAUUAAACCUCAUUCCAAAAUAUGGGAUUCAUGUAUAUAAUGCAAUGUAUAAAAAAAUGUUUGUGUUGGCUUAUAAUUUUUGUAAGGUUUUAGGUACAGCAGUUAUAUUAUGUUAAGUGUGUAUGAAUAUAAAUUACCAUUAAUAUUAUGUAUGUGGGAAAGCAUUUGUUUUAGUAGCUUCAAGAUCUAUGAUAAUAUAAUAUGCAAAAUUUAUCUGUUCUUGUUUUUGGAUAAUUUAAAUAAAUAAAAGGUAUUGGUUAAGUAUCUAUGUAUGUGUGUGUGUUCAUAUAUCAUUAUCUAAUUUAACAAAAUAAUUAAACUUUAAAUUCUUUAUUUUUGAAUACUUAAGAGGAUGUCAGCGCACUAUUUGUUUUCUCUCUCUGACCCACACGCAACAUAGACAAAACGCAUUUGCGCAGAAUUGUUUUUUCUAUGUUUUUAAGUAAUUUUAGAGUAAAAUCACCAAUUAUAAAAAAGAUAGAGAACAAUAUUUUAGAGGGAAUGACUUAUCGGUUUUAUAUUUUAUUGUUAUUUGACUUUGUAUUCGACUUUCAAAAUAAACAAAAAAUUUUUUGUAAAUUUAAAUUAUGUUUAAAUCGUUUUGAAACAAUAUUUAGAAAAAUCGAUAUGUCAUUCCCUCAAAAAUUUUAUUCUCUAUCUUCUUUGUAAUGAGUGAUUUUACUCUAAGAUUACUUAAAAACAUAGAAAAAACGAUUCUGCCCAAAUGCAUUUUGUCUAUGUUGCGCGUGGGCUAGAGAGAGAAAACAAAUAGUGCGCUGACAUCCUCUUAAGUAUUUUAAGGUUAGAUACAGUCUUUAGAAAAACAACAUAACUUGGAAUUCAGACAGUUCAGACAAUUCAGAUAAUUCAAAACAUGAAAAUUCGUUCUGGUAAUUGUUCCAGAGGUAGAAUUAAGGAUACUACUGAAAUCCAAAGUUUUUAGAAGAUAUAGGAGAGGAUGAUGCUCCUGAUUAAAUUAUAACCUUUUUAAGGAGAACAGGUCAUUGGAUUGAUGGUUACAUCACCCAACAAAUUGGUCCAUAUCCAGAUAAUAAAAAUUGAUCAGAUGAACAAGAGUUGCUACUGGAAAAAACAACUAAUUCGCAAAUAAACUUUUUAUUUUAUUUUUUUUUUUAAAUUUUAUAAUUAAUUAUAAUAACCUUAUAACAUUCUAAUAAUCUAUGACAAUUUUUAACAUUUUGAAAUCAACAUAACCUGUGAUUUAUAUUUAUAAAACUAUGUGUAAAUUCUUUGCAGUCUUUUAAAGUACUUGAGUAAAAGUAUUCAAAAACACUUAUUAAAUAUUUUUUAAAAAUAUGUAUCAGUAUUUGUACUUGAAUACUUUUAAUAUUUAAAUAUUAUCUUUUACAAAUUACAAGACUGAUUCUUCGACUUAAAACAUUAUUAAUAUUAUUAUUAUUAUUAUUAUUAUUAUUAUUAUUAUUAUUAUUAUUAUAAAACGGACUUAUUAGA